GAGCNNNNNNNNNNNCUCAACUUUGUAAUUCAGAGAGUGAAAGCAGAGGCUGGCUGCCGGGAAGGGAUUACAAAACUCUGCUCUCAGACUAGGAGCAUUUGCAUGGAGGGAGUGGGGUGUGCCGAGGCUGGGAAUAUUGCUGCGGUGGGGCACUGGCAGACAGGCGCGCCGACUUAGGUUUGCGGCUGGUAAAAUAGAAACUCCAGCUCUUGCCACAUCUCCUUCACCUGCCCCCCCUUUCCUGGUUACCCAGAUAUCACAGGUAUGGGCCUCAGCCAGCCAGGCAGGCCGUGGGCUUGGCACCGUUGCUGAUACGUCCUGAAAAAGGACUCCCAGAUAACUGCCGUCUACUUCAGCAGCGACAUAAAGGGCCAAGAAAUAAGCAUUUCCCCCUCGCAAGCCAGACCCACAGGCCUCUCCUAUGCGCCAUAUGAGGAUCAAAACAGAAGAGAAAGGGAGCUGGGAAGGGCAGUGCUUGGCCAAGACUAAAACAUACCCAGAUCUGCAGCAGUAAGGAGGAG
rnacentral:lncRNA from 1 species